CAGUCGCCGCGGUAAAACGGAGGGUGCAAGCGUUAAUCGGAAUUACUGGGCGUAAAGCGCACGCAGGCGGUCUGACAAGUCAGAUGUGAAAUCCCCGGGCUUAACCUGGGAACUGCAUUUGAAACUGUCAGGCUGGAGUCUUGUAGAGGGGGGUAGAAUUCCAGGUGUAGCGGUGAAAUGCGUAGAGAUCUGGAGGAAUACCGGUGGCGAAGGCGGCCCCCUGGACAAAGACUGACGCUUAGGUGCGAAAGCGUGGGGAGCAAACAGGAUUAGAUACCCCUGUAGUCCCUGUCUCUUAUAC
rnacentral:rRNA from 1 species